GCCUUGUUAGUUAAGUGGUAUAACAGAUCCAUGGUAAGGAUCAGUCGCUAGUUCGAUUCUGGCACGAGGCACCA
rnacentral:tRNA from 1 species